ensembl:lncRNA
UAUUUCAAUUGGCUUUAAAGGGGUCAUAGGAUGCCCAUUUUCCAAGUUGAUAUGAUUCUUUAGGGUCUUAAUGAAAAGUCUAUAACAUAAAAUUUCUCAGUGGUAGUGUAAAAAACACCUUUUUUACCCUGUCAAAAACAGCUCUUUUCAGAGCAUGCAGUUUUGUUGCAUUUUCCUUUAAAUGUUAAUGAGCUCUGCUCUGCUCUCUUCCACUGCUCUCUGAGGGAACGUUAGCACAUUCAUCAUGAAACUUGCUUAUUAGCACAUUAUUAGGAAAGGCGAUUUGCAAAGAUUCAUUUAAAAAAAAAAAACAACAACAACACUCACUUCUUCUGUAGGUGAAGCUGGAUCACAAAAGAAUUGCGCGAACAUUUAUGUAGCUCUGUGGCGCAUUCUCUUCAAAAACAAAUGUAAUUCACUGUGUCAUCAGCGGCUUACAUGUCAAGAGUAAAUGACGACUGCUAUGUUCAUUAUUACAUCCAACAACAGAACACGUCAAUCACUUAGGAGUCAUUCUUGUCUACAUCUGCUCCGGCGGUGAAACAAUGGCGGACCGAUAACAGCUCACUCAGGGCGGGUCCAAGGGAAAUGUCAUCAAAACAAUUUGCUGAAACCUGAAGAAGAAGCAUCUGCGAUAUGAGAUAUGGGGAAAGAAACAUCAACACCAGUUCCACGCUAAAAAACAAUGGUGGAGAAACAAUUUUUACUCAGAAAUUAAUAGUAAGUAUCACAAUAAUUUUUUAUGAAGAAAUGUCAAGUAAACAUUGAAUUAAACAUAAAAAUGUGAAGUGUUUUCUUGUAAAACAUACUCCAGUAAUCUUCAAAUCAAACUUCGAAAAAAUUAUUUUUACAGUGAAUGUUCUACGGUCUUUAAUUUCACUCUAUUUUUUCCUCCUCACUUGAGGAUUGUUCAGCAUCUGAGAGUAAAGCAGGCCACUUUCCUAACACCCAACUGUCUGCAGGACCUUUUUAACAUCUUAAAACUGACAAGGACUGUCGGCUGGCUCCUCACCCCUGACCCCUUUGACGACGCCUGACUGCAUCUUAUUUUAGAUAUAGCAAGGCUUAUGUUAAGCUGCUCCUGUGCUCCUGUCUUAUUCAGGAGCUUCAGGAAUGCACAGUUUUCACAGGUAUAGAGCUUGUAUUUACAUGCCAGCAGUGGCCUGUUAUGGUUUCCCUGUACCCCAAAAAUGGAAAUAGUUUUUCUCUCAAAGUGAGGGUGAGCUGGGGCUAAUUGCUUCAAGGAAAUUUACACUGAGGUCUGUAUUAUAUUAUAAAAGUCAAACUAGAUAAAGUUUGUAAAGACGUGAAAAAGUUGUAAAAGCUUGAAGAUUGAAACAGUUGUAAAUUUUAAAUUUUAG